UGGACUACUGGGGUUUCUAAUCCUGUUUGCUCCCCACGCUUUCAUGCCUCAGCGUCAGUUACAGUCCAGAAAGCCGCCUUCGCCACUGAUGUUCUUCCUAAUCUCUACGCAUUUCACCGCUACACUAGGAAUUCCGCUUUCCUCUCCUGCACUCUAGAUACCCAGUUUGAAAUGCAGUCCCCAGGUUAAGCCCGGGGCUUUCACAUCUCACUUAAGUAUCCGCCUACACAUCCUUUACGCCCAGUAAAUCCGGACAACGCUUGCCACCUACGUAUUACCGCGGCUGCCUGGCACC
rnacentral:misc_RNA from 1 species